AGUACUAUAUAUGAAGGGAAGAUCGGUGACAGAUGAUUAAAUAAUUCUAUUUUACACGUAAAAUGUAUACGCAUUUUCAUUUAAAAUAGGAUUAGUCUGCCCAUUUAUAAUACCUUCUUCAUAUUUUUAUGAAGCUUAUUUAUGUAUGAAUGCUAAUCCUUCUGAAUUAUUUUUCAGAAGGAUUUUUUA
rnacentral:sRNA from 1 species